UACGGGGGGAGCAAGCGUUGUUCGGAUUUACUGGGCGUAAGGGCGCGUAGGCGGUCGUGACAAGUCACUUGUGAAAUCUCCGGGCUUAACUCGGAACGGUCAAGUGAUACUGUCGGACUAGAGUACAGAAGGGGCAACUGGAAUUCUCGGUGUAGCGGUGAAAUGCGUAGAUAUCGAGAGGAACACCUGCGGCGAAGGCGGGUUGCUGGGCUGACACUGACGCUGAGGCGCGAAAGCGUGGGGAGCGAACAGG
rnacentral:rRNA from 1 species